AGUGAACGCUGGCGGCAGGCCUAACACAUGCAAGUCGAACGGCAGCACGGCAGUAGCAAUACUGUGGGUGGCGAGUGGCGGACGGGUGAGGAAUACAUCGGGAUCUACCCUGUUGUGGGGGGAUAACGUAGGGAAACUUACGCUAAUACCGCAUAAGAACUGAGGUUGAAAGCGGCGGACCGCAAGGCGUCGCGCGAUUGGAUGAACCGAUGUCCGAUUAGCUAGUUGGCGGGGUAAAGGCCCACCAAGGCGACGAUCGGUAGCUGGUCUGAGAGGACGACCAGCCACACUGGAACUGAGACACGGCCCAGACUCCUACGGGAGGCAGCAGUGGGGAAUAUUGGACAAUGGGCGCAAGCCUGAUCC
rnacentral:rRNA from 1 species